CAGAGCUGUGAUGUGUACACAGAAGCGAGAGGGAGCUUGGCACACAGAAGAAAAGUAAAAAUGUUCAAUUUGGAAUAAGAGGACCUGAAUUCAGGACCUAUCACUUCAAGUGACUUUUUGUCUCCACCCCUGACUCAAUUUCCCCUAUCUGUCAAGUGGUUUGUUGGACCAGAUGAACCCCAAGAUCAUUUCUGACCCUAUAUCCUUGGUGAUCCUUUGGUAUCCUGAUGCCCUACCUCUCCUGAAAGCUAACCAUAUUACCUAAUCUGCUAGACCCACUGCAGCUCAGAUGUUUAACAAACUCAAGUGAUCCAUUAGCCUCAGCCUCCCUAAUAGCAUGGACCAUAAGCUUGGCCAUAAAA